CCCACGGUGGUCUGAAGUUUUUGGAUGGACGUCCUCCAACUGGAGGAAAUGUGACUCUCCUGGUCACUUUGACGGGAAGUGACUCAGCAACAGUCACAAAUGUGACUCUCUUUGACAGCUCAAGUAUGUCAGAGAUCAAUGGGUCGGUGCAGUCAUUGGGAAGCAACGACUACUUGGUAAGAUUCAGAGAAGUCCCUGCAGG